rnacentral:lncRNA from 1 species
UUACUAACAAUAAUACUAAGUAACAUCUAAACCCUAAAAACUAAUAAUAAUAAUACUAACUAAAAUUAUCAAUUUCAGUUUUUAUUGAUCUUAAUAACUAAACUAACAACAAAAAAUAAUAAAAAUUAUACAAAAAAACAUAACAACAAUAUAAUCAAUUAUUUAAAAAAAACCUUUUUUUCCUCUUCUCUUUCUCUCUUUUUUCGCAGCACCUCC